GCCAACGUUAGCCGUCUGUGCCUCUGCGCUAUUGUGCGACAUGCCGUGCAGACUCUAACCGUGCGUACCAAGGGGCUGUUUUGACCGGCAGAAAUUCUGUGCUCGUUAGUCCUGUACUGCCUCGGUUCACCGCGUGACAAUGUUUGCUCUUGGACAGGCUCCGUCGUAUGCACCUCGAAAUGACGGAACGUUUUCCGGUUUAAUGAAGGCUCUGUACAAUGACCCGUUCAAGUGGCAAGUGAUCAAGAGCUGGUCCAUGUUCUGUUUCGGCGUCUACCUCUCUAGGGAGUUCGCAGGCGUCGACCUCAUGGCCCCACCGCCGGCUCUGUAACGGCGACCACUUGUGGAGCGGAUGUCGCCUGUUUUUCGAACUGGCACGAACAGCUGCGAAGCAGUUCCUACGACUAUGGCUGUCGACGCGAGCUUGCCAUCAUUCGUAGGAAGCCCCCGGAGCCAGUUGAAGUCAUCCUUGUGUUAUUCAAUAUGAACGUGUGCUGGGGAUCGCCGAGCGGGACCAUGCCCUUAUGACAUGCUUUCGUUUGUUGCACACCCGUAAUAAAGAACAUUUUGCAUCUUGCUUCAA